UUUCCGUAGGUGAACCUGCGGAAGGAUCAUUAACGGCUAAAAGAGAAGGAUGCGCAAGCACCCUUUCUACUUUGGUUCUGUUUGCGGCAAGUCCCGUGAGACCGGCUUGGACGGCUACGGGCGGCUCUGACCACUUGUGGUUGGGGCGACAACGAUGCUAUCGAGCUGCAGUGGGCUCGGCUCGAAAGAGUUACGGCGUUGUUAGUGUUCCAGCUCUCAAAAACUUGGUUGGGUGCUCUAUCCUGGUCUAUCCUGGCCAGGGCAGCGUCGUUGCUGGCGAUGCUGCGAGCCGUAAGGGCGGCGUGCUACCACUGUCGCCGACGCCCAGCCAAGGCGCCCUUUUAGGGUUGCCGUUCUAUUUUACUUAUCGAGUCUUUUCUUGAUAAAGCCGUAUAUUGGUUAAUUACUGAGAGACUUACUCUGAGCGGUGGAUCACUCGGCUCGU
rnacentral:misc_RNA from 1 species